UACAGAGGGUGCAAGCGUUACUCGGAAUUACUGGGCGUAAAGCGUCCGUAGGUGGCUAGUCAAGUCUGCGGUCAAAGACUGGGGCUUAACCCUGGAAAGGCCGUGGAAACUGACGAGCUAGAGUGCAGUAGGGGUAGAGGGAAUUCCCGGUGUAGCGGUGAAAUGCGUAGAGCUCGGGAAGAACAUCGGUGGCGAAAGCGCUCUACUGGACUGCAACUGACACUCAGGGACGAAAGCUAGGGGAGCGAAUGGG
rnacentral:rRNA from 1 species